AGGAACUUUUAUGAAUUGUUCAUGAACAUUCAUGAUGUGUUCAUGACUGGUUCAUGACUGGUUCAUAAAGAUGGUUCAUGAACUUUAUUCAUGAAUAUAUUCAUAAAAUGUAGUUCAUGAACAAAUGAUGAAUAUAUAUGAAUAUUGGUUAUUUUCAUUUUAAAGACAGAAAAAAUGUAGAGUUCAAGGUAUUAUGAAUGUUCAUGAAUUUUCAUGAAGACUAAAAUAAUUGACAAAAAUGAUUGACAGAAAACCCUCAAUACUCUCAUAAUGCAACUUUUGCAUGCAGAUGCAAUUGUUGAACAAGCCCCUGGUAUAAUAUAUGUUUAAUAAUAAUUCUUUCACCACCUGAAAAAAUAAAUCAUGAAAUCUCUAAACAUUUAGUGUUUUUAUUUGAUUUUAAUUAAACAAACACUGCAUCACAAUUGACAGCAUUUUUUUUUCAAAUUCAUUACUUGUGUUUCUUCAUAAUUUAAAUUAAACAGUUAUAUUCAUCAUAAUGUGCUUUAAUUAAUGUCGUUUUUCAUCACACAACUUUGUUCGACCGAAUUUUCUCUAACAUCAAACUUUAAACAAGUUGUUGGAAAAUGAAACAUUCUGGAAAAUGAACUUUGUGAGCUUUGUAAAAAAACGUUUUAUAUAUUUAUUAACGACUUAAAAAUGAUAUCACUUGUCUGUACUGUACCGUAUUAUUCCUGGAUCGAAACGCUACAUACAUUUCAAUUUUGGUGCAGUUAAAAUGUCAAAAGUUUCCCUUGCUUCGUGUGUAAAUGAUAGAGCACAGACUGCAUGGUUGUAAAGUAUCUAUGAUUCACAUUCGUAUUUUGUAGUUUUAAUUCGCCUAUGCGUCUUCACAGCUCAGAAUAUUCUGUCUGAGGGCGAGAGAUUGUUAUUAUCAUGUCAUAGGGGGCCGCCAUACUUGCUAUACGAAACUAAAAGUCAAUACAUGUAUAAUUUAUGACCUAAAAAAAUCGAAUUCUUCAUUGAUAAAACUUAUUUUGAUAUAAAAUAUUGUAUUUUCAGUGAAAAGUUAUUCAGAUAGUGUUUGUAAUUUUUUUUUUAAACAGAAAUCUUGGAAAUUCGAAACUAAGGUAUUUCUUAGCUCUACCGUACAUUUUUGAAUAGGCGCAAACUUGAAAACGCGCGAGACGUUGGAAGUGGGAAUUUGUAGUGUGGAAGAAUCAGUAUUUGUGAUCUAUUAUUUGCAUAGUCACUGUGCCGUUUUCGAAUUGCAUAAUUUUAUUUCGAUCGGGUUCAAUAUUCUGUUUAUACUAAUUAUGGUAGCCAUGCGGUUUGCCUGGCGUUUUGGCUGUGAAGUUUGGUGAUGUUGGCCUCCCUAAGGAGUGUGUCCAAUAAACAGUACAGUCACUGAUCUUUGUCAACUUUUAAAGAAAAUAACAGAAUAUGAAGAAGGAAGACUAUAUAUAGGAUCGAUCUACUUCAUAACUGG